rnacentral:rRNA from 1 species
AGUGUAGGCGGCUAUUUAAGUCGGAUGUGAAAGCCCUGGGCUCAACCUGGGAAUUGCAUUCGAAACUGGGUAGCUAGAGUUUGGUAGAGGUAAGUGGAAUUCCGGGUGUAGCGGUGAAAUGCGUAGAUAUCCGGAGGAACAUCAGUGGCGAAGGCGGCUUACUGGACCAAAACUGACGCUGAGGCUCGAAAGCGUGGGGAGCAAACAGGAUUAGAUACCUGGUAGUCC